CGAGCCCUGGAGCAUCUCCACAGUAAACUGUCAGUGAUUCACAGAGAUGUGAAGCCGUCCAACGUCUUGAUCAACAAACAGGGACAUGUGAAAAUGUGUGAUUUUGGAAUCAGCGGGUACUUGGUGGAUUCGGUGGCUAAAACGUUGGAUGCCGGCUGCAAACCUUACAUGGCUCCAGAAAGAAUUAAUCCGGAGCUAAACCAGAAGGGGUAUAAUGUCAAAUCAGACGUUUGGAGUCUUGGGAUC